UACGGGAGGCAGCAGUGGGGAAUAUUGCACAAUGGGCGAAAGCCUGAUGCAGCUAUGCCGCGUGUAUGAAGAAGGCCUUAGGGUUGUAAAGUACUUUCAUCGGGGAGGAAAAAACAAAACUAAUAAUUUUAUUUCUUGACGUUACCCGAAAAAGAAGCACCGGCUAACUCCGUGCCAGCAGCCGCGGUAAUACGGAGGGUGCUAGCGUUAAUCAGAAUUACUGGGCGUAAAGAGCACGUAGGUGGUUUUUUUAAAGUUCAGAUGUGAAAUCCCUGGGCUUAACCUGGAAACUGCAUUUUGAAACUGAAAUACUAGAGUAUCGUAGAGGGAGGUAGAAUUCUAGGUGUAGCGGUGAAAUGCGUAGAUAUCUGGAGGAAUACCUGUGGCGAAAGCGGCCUCCUAAACGAAUACUGACACUGAGGUGCGAAAGCGUGGGGAGCAAACAGGGAUUAGAUACC
rnacentral:rRNA from 1 species